AGCCUGACUUGGCAGCCUGAAGUGCUCUAGCCCCUCAGAGAGGUAGAGAGAUGUCCCCUAGAAUAGAUCCCAUUACAUCAGGCUGUUUGCGUGACAGUUGUAGUAAGGGAGAGUGAGCCUCUUAUCAUUUGUGCAUGUGUGACAGAUGCCAAACAAAUAUUGUUGAAGUAACUCCAAUUACCUCAUGUACCAGAAAAGUCUGAAACCUAGAGGAGCCACAUGACCUGCUCAAAGCCACAUUUUGGCUUUGUGCAGACAAACCAGCGAGCAGUCCUUCUGCACCCUGAAACAUCAGAGCUCACGCCAUGAGCUCCCUUCUAUGGCUGAGCUCUCCUCUCUGAAGAGAAGCUGACGCCCUGAGAGCCGGGGACCUUCGACUGUCACUCCUAAAUGACAGGAGAAGGGUGAGCAGCUCAGGCUUCCGUAGAACUCAGUGAGUAUGUGAUGACAACAAGAGAACUAACUCCUACAUGCAGAAGUACUCCCAAAGGAAACAGAUCAUUGUGAUUAGACAAGAUGAGACACUUCAGAGACUGCAUCGCCAAGUUUAAUUAUAAAUCAAAUGUCAUUCAAAGAGGUUUUUUUUUUCUUUCCAAAAGUAUGUGAUUUAUUUGUGUAGGCAGUAAUUACCUGCCUCAAUCCAGAAAGGAUAUGAGGUGGUGAGGCAUCCGUUGGUGCUAUUCCAAAACUGAAAAUUAAACUAAACUUUCCUUGGAUUCGGGAAUAAAGCUUACCAGGGCCCAUUCCUGUUUAGUUCAAAGUACAUAGCACUGGUGAACACACAUACUGUAAGAAGAGGUUGUUUAAACUCUCUUUCUUGAAGGAACUCCCAAAGUUUCCAAU